CUUUUGCAAGACACCAUACAUUUGUGUGUUGAGCAGCAGGUUGCAAUGUUUUUAAACACAGUAGGUCACAAUGUUCGAAAUAGGUUAGUUGGCACCAAUUUUGAUAGGUCCGGUGAAACUGUUAGUCGGUAUUUCAACAAAGUAAUGCACGCUAUUGGAGAGCUACGAAACGACUUCAUUACACCACCAUCGACAUAAACUCCAGCUAAAAUUGCAGGAAACCCAAGAUGGGAUCCUUACUUUAAGGAUUGUAUUGGAGCAAUAGAUGGCACACACGUGCGGGCCUCUGUUCCUAAACACAAGGAGGCUUCCUUUCGUGGUAGAAAGAGUUAUCCUACUCAAAAUGUCAUGGUAGCUGUAGAUUUUAAUCUUCGAUUCACAUUUGUGUUGGCCGGUUGGGAGGGGACAGCCCAUGACGCUCUAGUCUUACGGGAUGCUUUAGAGAGGGAAAAUGGUCUUCGUGUUCCACAAGGCAAGUUCUACCUAGUUGAUGCCGGAUAUGGAGCCAAACCUGGAUUUCUGCCCCCUUUUCAUGGU